rnacentral:rRNA from 1 species
GACGAACGCUGGCGGCGUGCUUAACACAUGCAAGUCGAACGGUGAAGCUCCAGCUUGCUGGAGUGGAUCAGUGGCGAACGGGUGAGUAACACGUGAGCAACCUGCCCCUGACUCUGGAAUAAGCGCUGGAAACGGCGGCUAAUACUGGAUACGAGAAGGGUACGCAUGGGCACUAUUUGGAAAGUUCUUCGGUUGUGGAUGGGCUAGCGGCCUAUGAGCUUGUUGGGGAGGUAUUGGCGCACGAAGGCGACGACGGGUAGCCGGCCUGAGAGGGCGAACGGCGACACUGGGACUGAGACACGGCGCAGACUCCUACGGGAGGCAGCAGGGGAGAAUAUUGCACAAUGGGCGCACGCCUGAUGCAGCGACGCCGCGUGCGGGAUGACGGCUUUCGGGUUGUAAACAUCUUUCAGCGGGGAAGAAGCGAAAGUGACGGUACCUGCAGAAGAAGCACCGGCUAACUACGUG